UUAGAUAGUUGGUAGGGUAAUGGCCUACCAAGUCAACGAUCAAUAGCUGGUUUGAGAGGAUGAUCAGCCACACUGGGACUGAGACACGGCCCAGACUCCUACGGGAGGCAGCAGUGGNNNAUAUUGCGCAAUGGGNNNAACCCUGACGCAGCCAUGCCGCGUGAGUGAUGAAGGCCCUAGGGNUGUAAGCUCUUUCGCUCGUGAG
rnacentral:rRNA from 1 species